GAUGAACGCUGGCGGCGUGCCUAAUACAUGCAAGUCGAGCGAACGGACGAGAAGCUUGCUUCUCUGAUGUUAGCGGCGGACGGGUGAGUAACACGUGGAUAACCUACCUAUAAGACUGGGAUAACUUCGGGAAACCGGAGCUAAUACCGGAUAAUAUUUUGAACCGCAUGGUUCAAAAGUGAAAGACGGUCUUGCUGUCACUUAUAGAUGGAUCCGCGCUGCAUUAGCUAGUUGGUAAGGUAACGGCUUACCAAGGCAACGAUGCAUAGCCGACCUGAGAGGGUGAUCGGCCACACUGGAACUGAGACACGGUCCAGACUCCUACGGGAGGCAGCAGUAGGGAAUCUUCCGCAAUGGGCGGAAGCCUGACGGAGCAACGCCGCGUGAGUGAUGAAGGUCUUCGGAUCGGAAAACUCUGUUAUUAGGGAAGAACAUAUGUGUAAGUAACUGUGCACAUCUUGACGGUACCUAAUCAGAAAGCCACGGCUAACUACGUG
rnacentral:rRNA from 1 species